AGCAGGUGCGAAAGCAGGUCUUAGUGAUCCGGCGGUAGCAAGUGGAAGUGCCGUCGCUCAACGGAUAAAAGGUACUCCGGGGAUAACAGGCUUAUCGGGCCCAAGAGUCCACAUCGACGGCCCGGUUUGGCACCUCGAUGUCGGCUCGUCGCAUCCUGGGGGUGGAGUUGCUCCCAAGGGUUGGGCUGUUCGCCCAUUAAAGCGGUACGCGAGCUGGGUUCAGAACGUCGUGAGACAGUUCGGUCCCUAUCUGCCGUGGGCGCUGGAGAACUGAGAGGAUUUGUCCCUAGUACGAGAGGACCGGGAUGAACGCACCUCUGGUGUAUCUGUUGUCCUGCCAAGGGCACUGCAGGUUAGCUACGUGCGGAGCGGAUAACCGCUGAAAGCAUCUAAGCGGGAAGCCGACCUCAAGAUGAGUUCUCCCAUCCCCUUGAGGGAGUAAGACCCCUGGUAGACCACCAGGUUGAUAGGCCGGAUCUGGAAGGACGGCGACGUCCGAAGGAGACCGGUACUAAUGGGUCGAGGGCUUGACGGA
rnacentral:rRNA from 1 species